GAAAGGAGAGCCUGUGGAGAAAGAAGCAUUUCCCGGAGGAAGCAGUGGUUGCAUGCCAGCCUCAGCUCCAGGAAGGGAGGCCAUGCCAGGCACAGGCACAGGAGAUGAGGGUGCUGGGAAGGCUUCUCCAUCAGCUUGGUUGAAUAAAGUUUUGAAGCCCUUGGAGCCUCCUGCAGAUGUGUCUACAGGGAAGACUUCUCCAGCUUCUCCAGCUGCUACCUUGGAUGCUGCACUCAAGCCCAGCUCCCAUCUCAGGGGU